UGGUGGAGUGAUUUGUCUGGUUAAUUCUGUUAACGAACGAGACCUCGACCUGCUAAAUAGUUUGGCGAAUUCCCUGUGGAUUCGCACUUAACUUCUUAGAGGGACUAUCGGUUCGCAGCCGGUGGAAGUUCGAGGCAAUAACA
rnacentral:rRNA from 1 species